CCUACGGGGGGCAGCAGUGGGGAAUAUUGGACAAUGGGGGGAACCCUGAUCCAGCCAUGCCGCGUGUGUGAAGAAGGCCCUCGGGUUGUAAAGCACUUUCAGUGAGGAAGAACGCCUGGUGGUUAAUACCCAUCAGGAAAGACAUCACUCACAGAAGAAGCACCGGCUAACUCCGUGCCAGCAGCCGCGGUAAUACGGAGGGUGCGAGCGUUAAUCGGAAUUACUGGGCGUAAAGCGCGCGUAGGUGGCUUGAUAAGCCGGUUGUGAAAGCCCCGGGCUCAACCUGGGAACGGCAUCCGGAACUGUCAAGCUAGAGUGCAGGCGAGGAAGGUAGAAUUCCCGGUGUAGCGGUGAAAUGCGUAGAGAUCGGGAGGAAUAGCAGUGGCGAAGGCGGCCUUCUGGACUGACACUGACACUGAGGUGCGAAAGCGUGGGUAGCAAACAGGAUUAGAUACCCGAGUAGUC
rnacentral:rRNA from 1 species